AAAGUCACAUGCCAGUCUUAGCUGGAAAGCAAAGAAAAGAGAUUCAAACAAUUUCAGAGGGUGUAACUAAACCACAUGUGGUUUACCAUUGCUCUUUACCAUAAAUCAGAAGAAUGAUGAAAAUUGUGGAAAAAGGAUUAAAACAGGC